rnacentral:lncRNA from 1 species
UUUUAAGAGGGACUACAGUGCUUAAAGUAUACGCAAGUUGCUUUAACAUAACAUGGAGUGAUUGUUAAUUUAGACUUAUAGACUUGCCUUGAGUCCUUAGUAUUUAAAGAGUGUAGAGUAAGCCCAGAACAAUCAAAAUCAGGAUAUUUUUUUUUUAUUUAAUAGAACGAACAAGACUACAAAGACAUGCACAUCAUGACUUUUAAAGCACCUGUGAGAAAAAGCUAUACAAAUAUUCUAGUUGCUAAUAGGGAUCUUUUUCUUCAAAUAUUUAGCUUUAUAGUUUUCAGUUUAGCUUUAUUAUUCUAAGCAAGUCUUGUUGAUUGUUGUAAUGGUUGACUUUGUUUUUGCUGUUGCUUCAAAGUAGAGAUAACCCACCACCUUCUUUUUAAAAAUAAAGGGUCAUAGCUGAAUUGGCCAGUAAUUUGUUGAGAUUUAGCAGUUGUAUUAUUAUCCUUUAUUGUAUGGAAGUCUGUAAUUUGGUAUAUUUACAUUUUCACAUUUCAUAGGAUUUAUAGGAUAUUUCCACAUAUAUAUGUGAUUGUUACAUAGUAUGUGGGCAUUUUAACACUUCUUGUUAAACCUAUGAGCAACAAUUUGAUGGGUUAUAUAGAUGGUGUGCUUCAAUGGCAAAGUUAUGUCACUUUACAACAAUCCCUCCUUUUCCAGCGCCAGUCAACCAUCUAUAUCUGUUGACCCACUUUACAGUCCAUUUAGUUCCUGAACUUAGUAGAUAUUGUAGAUUGAUUUCUAAUUUGUAUUCUGCCCUGGUAAAAUCUAUGAAACAUGUAGUUUUGUUAGAUGAUAGAUGGUUGAAAUAACAUAUCAAGCAUGACCAUUUCCAUGUCACUUGCUACAAUCUUUCUUUUCUUCUCUUCUGGUAUUUGAACA